rnacentral:lncRNA from 1 species
CUCUGAAGUCAGCAGCUGGCAAACCUUUGUUUCAGUCAUGUUUUCAGCGGCUAAGCGCCUGGUAAAGCCCAGGCUGAUAAUUCUUGCAUUUUUCCUUGCCGCGAUGCCACGCCCAUGCCGGUCCUCCUGUUUUGAUAUUCAUCGCUCAAGGGCCACCACUACCGUUCUUUUGCUUGUCAGAUAGACUCCGGUGUCGAGCGUACUGCCUCGACCUUGUCAAGAGUGACAGCUCGUGGAAGCCUCUGCAUCUAGACGGGGGAGCUCAUGCAUGCCGAGACACCAGGGUGCGAUGCCAGCUCGACGCUCCAUUUGUAUUCAAGUCUGGGCUGUCAUGUUUCCAGUGCUUUCCUCGAGCUUCAGAUGAUCGAGGGCUUGAAAACCGACGCGACUUGCUCAACCCCGUGGCUUUGGCUGAAGUUUUGGCUUCUUCUGCCACUUUUUUUCCCCAUAUCCUCUUUGCAGUCUAUAUGCUGUAUUUGUCGGUUUACGCUGAACUGGCGCGACGCGACGAAGCGUUUGGUUUCGGGUCUAUGAAGCGAAAUUUUCCCGCUUUUCUUCGGCCGUCAUAAUGCAUAAUUAUUAAACAAUGAUUAGUAAACCACUCUUCUUACAA